UACGUAGGGGGCGAGCGUUGUCCGGAAUUACUGGGCGUAAAGGGUGCGUAGGCGGUACUUUAAGUUGGAUGUGAAAUACCCGGGCUUAACUUGGGGGGUGCAUCCAAUACUGGAGAACUAGAGUGCAGGAGAGGGAAGCGGAAUUCCUAGUGUAGCGGUGAAAUGCGUAGAUAUUAGGAGGAACACCAGUGGCGAAGGCGGCUUUCUGGACUGUAACUGACGCUGAGGCACGAAAGCGUGGGGAGCAAAC
rnacentral:rRNA from 1 species